GGAUAGUGGCGACGGGUGAGUAACACGUGGGCAAUCUGCCCUGCACUCUGGGACAAGCCCUGGAAACGGGGUCUAAUACCGGAUACUGAUCCUCGCGGGCAUCUGCGAGGUUCGAAAGCUCCGGCGGUGCAGGAUGAGCCCGCGGCCUAUCAGCUUGUUGGUGAGGUAAUGGCUCACCAAGGCGACGACGGGUAGCCGGCCUGAGAGGGCGACCGGCCACACUGGGACUGAGACACGGCCCAGACUCCUACGGGAGGCAGCAGUGGGGAAUAUUGCACAAUGGGCGAAAGCCUGAUGCAGCGACGCCGCGUGAGGGAUGACGGCCUUCGGGUUGUAAACCUCUUUCAGCAGGGAAGAAGCGAAAGUGACGGUACCUGCAGAAGAAGCGCCGGCUAACUACGUGCCAGCAGCCGCGGUAAUACGUAGGGCGCAAGCGUUGUCCGGAAUUAUUGGGCGUAAAGAGCUCGUAGGCGGCUUGUCACGUCGGUUGUGAAAGCCCGGGGCUUAACCCCGGGUCUGCAGUCGAUACGGGCAGGCUAGAGUUCGGUAGGGGAGAUCGGAAUUCCUGGUGUAGCGGUGAAAUGCGCAGAUAUCAGGAGGAACACCGGUGGCGAAGGCGGAUCUCUGGGCCGAUACUGACGCUGAGGAGCGAAAGCGUGGGGAGCGAACAGGAUUAGAUACCCUGGUAGUCCACGCCGUAAACGGUGGGCACUAGGUGUGGGCAACAUUCCACGUUGUCCGUGCCGCAGCUAACGCAUUAAGUGCCCCGCCUGGGGAGUACGGCCGCAAGGCUAAAACUCAAAGGAAUUGACGGGGACC
rnacentral:rRNA from 1 species